rnacentral:rRNA from 1 species
AGAGUUUGAUCAUGGCUCAGGAUGAACGCUAGCGGGAGGCUUAACACAUGCAAGUCGAGGGGCAGCAUUUACUUCGGUAAGAUGGCGACCGGCGCACGGGUGCGUAACGCGUAUGCAACCUACCUUAUACAGAGGGAUAGCCCAUGGAAACGUGGAUUAAUACCUCAUAGUAUUGUAAUAUCGCAUGAUAUAACAAUUAAAAUUUCGAUGGUAUAAGAUGGGCAUGCGUCUGAUUAGUUAGUUGGUGAGGUAACGGCUCACCAAGACGACGAUCAGUAGGGGUUCUGAGAGGAUUAUCCCCCACACUGGUACUGAGACACGGACCAGACUCUUACGGGAGGCAGCAGUGAGGAAUAUUGGUCAAUGGGCGCAAGCCUGAACCAGCCAUCCCGCGUGCAGGAUGACGGCCCUAUGGGUUGUAAACUGCUUUUCUAUGCCAAGAAUGGUUCUUACGUGUAAGGAUUUGACGGUAGCAUAGGAAUAAGCACCGGCUAACUCCGUGCCAGCAGCCGCGGUAAUACGGAGGGUGCAAGCGUUAUCCGGAUUCAUUGGGUUUAAAGGGUGCGCAGGCGGGCUUGUAAGUCAGUGGUGAAAUCUUGCCGCUUAACGGUAAAAUUGCCAUUGAUACUGCAGGUCUUGAGUAUGGUUGAGGUAGGUGGAAUGUGUUGUGUAGCGGUGAAAUGCAUAGAUAUGACACAGAACGCC